GACGAACGCUGGCGGCGUGCUUAACACAUGCAAGUCGAACGGUAAGGCCCUGCUUUUGUGGGGUGCUCGAGUGGCGAACGGGUGAGUAACACGUGAGUAACCUGCCCUUGACUUUGGGAUAACUUCAGGAAACUGGGGCUAAUACCGGAUAGGAGCUCCUGCUGCAUGGUGGGGGUUGGAAAGACUCGGCGGUUGGGGAUGGACUCGCGGCCUAUCAGCUUGUUGGUGGGGUAGUGGCUUACCAAGGCUUUGACGGGUAGCCGGCAUGAGAGGGUGCCCGGCCACUUUGGGCUUAGGUUCCGUCCCUGACCCCUCCGGGAGGAAUCAGUGGGGAUUGUUCCACAGUGGGCGGAACCCGGAUACAUCAACGCCGCCUGCGGGAUGACGCCCUUCGGGUUGAAACCCGUUUCAGCAUGGGACAAAGUGUUGGUGACGGUAAUGUGUGAAGAAGCACCGGCUAACUACGUG
rnacentral:rRNA from 1 species